AACGUAGGUGGCGAGCGUUAUCCGGAUUUACUGGGCGUAAAGCGUGUGCAGGCGGGUGGACAAGUGGUGUAUGAAAUCGCCAGGCUAAACCUGGCGGGGUUAUGCCAGACUGGUUUAUCUGGAGUGCGAGAGAGGGGCGUGGAAUUCCGGGUGUAGUGGUGAAAUGCGUAGAGAUCCGGAGGAACCCCAGAGGCGAAGGCGGCGCCCUGGCUCGCAACUGACGCUCAGACACGACAGCAUGGGGAGCGAACGGG
rnacentral:rRNA from 1 species